UACGAGAGGCCCAAACGUUAUUCGGAAUUACUGGGUUUAAAGGGUGCGUAGGCGGGUUGGUAAGUCAGUGGUGAAAUCUCCGGGCUUAACCUGGAAACUGCCAUUGAUACUAUCAAUCUUGAAUACCUUGGAGGUGAGCGGAAUAUGUCAUGUAGCGGUGAAAUGCUUAGAUAUGACAUAGAACACCAAUUGCGAAGGCAGCUCACUACACGGUCAUUGACACUGAGGCACGAAAGCGUGGGGAUCAAACAGG
rnacentral:rRNA from 1 species